rnacentral:rRNA from 1 species
AUUGAACGCUGGCGGCAUGCUUUACACAUGCAAGUCGAACGGCAGCGCGGGCUUCGGCCUGGCGGCGAGUGGCGAACGGGUGAGUAAUGCAUCGGAACGUGCCCAGUAGUGGGGGAUAGCCCGGCGAAAGCCGGAUUAAUACCGCAUACGACCUGAGGGUGAAAGCGGGGGACCGAAAGCCUCGCGCUAUUGGAGCGGCCGAUGUCGGAUUAGCUAGGUGGUGGGGGAAAGGCUUAUCAAGGCGACGAUCCGUAGCUGGUCUGAGAGGACGACCAGCCACACUGGGACUGAGACACGGCCCAGACUCCUACGGGAGGCAGCAGUGGGGAAUUUUGGACAAUGGGGGCAACCCUGAUCCAGCCAUGCCGCGUGCGGGAAGAAGGCCUUCGGGUUGUAAACCGCUUUUGUUCGGGAAGAAAUCCUCUGGGCUAAUACCCCGGGGGGAUGACGGUACCGGAAGAAUAAGCACCGGCUAACUACGUG